GCAAGUCAAGUACUCUCAGUUUAUGACACUAGAAACAUGUCAAAUAAAAGCCAAAUUUUGAAUGCGAACUUUUGUAACAUCGAAUAUACCCGUGAUUUUUUUAAUUAAGCGAUAAAUGGCGAUUAAAAAAAGGUAAUAUUUGACAGCCCUACCCACAAGGCAACUUAUCUACUGACAGUUGUGUGGGAGUUUGUGGUGUUUAAUGCCAACCACAGUUAGUGUCGUCUGCAUUAGGAGCAGUUCACUACAACGGUCUGGAGAGAUAUUUCAUUUUAAACUUGUAGUCAUCAACCCUAACCAGCACUGCCUCCAGUGACAUCACCUGAGGCCAUUUAUCAGAUCUCAAAUAGGCUGUGUGAAAUGCCGUGACCUUUACAUUUCUGAGGAAGGAGUGGUUGCUGGAGAGGAGGUAAAUGUCUCAUCAGAGUUCUGACACUCUGCUGCCCCCACGGGUCAGAGUGAGAAUUACACUAAAGGACCAACAAGAAACUCACUGCAGGAUAAAACAACCUAUCAGGUUCUCCAUACUUUUGAAAAAAUCAUGACUACACCUACAGAACAUCAUUAUAAGUAAAAUAUUUAUUUUUUAAGCUUUCAUAGUCAUUAAUCAGCUGUACUUGAAUUAUAAUUGUACAUCAAUAUCAAUAUUGCAGUAGCAUACUAUUGUUGAUCAUAAGAUAGA